AAACUGAAGAGUUUGAUCCUGGCUCAGAUUGAACGCUGGCGGCAUGCCUUACACAUGCAAGUCGAACGGCAGCACGGGUGCUUGCACCUGGU
rnacentral:rRNA from 1 species